rnacentral:lncRNA from 1 species
GGGAGAGAAUAAGGUUUUGGGGGGAGAAGGAUUAGAGAGCUAGCUUCAUGCUUCGGAGCGGAGAAAAAAGACAGAGAAUUGGGUUUUUUUUCUUCAUAGGGUUUUAGGAAGACUGAGGCAAUCAUUGCUGAAGUCAGUGUUGUACUGGUGAAUCGAGAUUUUAAUGACGUGGGUGUGAUUACUCUUGAUUGUUUUGUGAAAUCGAGUUACAUCUGUAAUGAAGAAUUAAAAGGGUGUCUAUAGAAUUGAGUAUGCGGAGUGAAUGAAAUUUAUUGGAUUAAUCUAACGAGACAGUCAGUAGAUACAAGAUCGUGAAUAUAAAGCGGUAUCGAAGAUUAG